rnacentral:lncRNA from 1 species
AAAACCCUAAUUCCCAAAGCUAAUCCGUAAGCGUCCGUCUGAGUAUAUAUAGGCUUCGUCUUCUUUCUUCUAACUCAGAACAACAACUGCUUCUUUCUCUUUACUUCUGCUUAGGUUUUCCAACGAAUAAUCUAGAGUUUUCAAGAAUAAAGUUUUCGUUUUUAGUGGUGGCUUAGAAGAGGGUUUAUGGUGAUGAUACGAAUAUUUCGUGGACUAGAGUUUCAGAUAUGGGCUCUUCACCCAGAAUUUGAAGAUACAACCCUUGGCUGUCUGAGUAAAUCCUUGUUUUGCCCACCACAAUAGUUUUUGGUUUUGGUAUCUUAUUUUGCCUAUGAUGAUAAAAACAAUUAUCUUAGCGGAUUUCAGUGAGGUUUUUUAAAUCAAUGAUCUGAAUUGUUACACACACUGAGGCUCUUUUAUUUGUUCUUUCGUUUUUGAUUUUGGGAAAAUUGGUUGCGAUGAUGAUAAAAUAGCACGAAGGUGCGUGAAGGGCAGUGGACAAAACAAUGUUUUGCCGUGAGCUCUCUUAAUUAAACGACUUCUCCUUCCACUGAGCAUAAUUGAGAUUUCCCCUAAAUCUUUUGUGUUUAUUAGUUUGGUUGAUAAUAAUGAAUGGCGUCUUUUACCAAUUCUGAAGGAUUAAAAAUGGUUCCUUUAGGUAUAAUGGCAUUGACGCAAGAUUAUUUGUGGUAUAUCCUGAUCAUUUGGCUUUUUUCUAUGUUACUUGAUCCUGGAAAUGCCUCGCACAUUUUGUUCAUCUACUUGUGGUUUUUAUCUACCAAGUUUGCUCUUUUUACAUCCGAUUUGUGGCUGGAUGUUUUGACCUUGUUGAUUUUAACGAUGUUUGGAUGUCGAUAAGUAGGAUUUAAUAAUGAUCAUUCGAUAUAUUUCACACUGGUUCAGUUUUAAUUCAUGGAUUGCAAAUCAGAAACUGUAAUCACUUCAUAUAUUGAUCCCAAAAAUAUUCACAUUCACUCAUAUUUUUUCAUUGACCGUCAGCUUUUCGUAUAUAGUUUUUGAUAGUUUUUGAUUUACUUGUCCCAUCUUGAGAUUGAGAAUUGUUGGAAGAUUGUGGAGUUGUUUCUUGAGACAAUUUUCAUUUGACAAUGCUUGGUUACGUUUCACAAUGCUUGGUUACGUUUCAGUAAUGUGGAAAGCUGCAGCUACCCAAAUCGUUGUCAAAAUGGAACAUUGGUUUCUGGAUAAAGAGUUAUUUCAUCUGUGAGAUGUUUUCGUUAAUACGUGAUCAUCAAGGUUUAAUGUGUUUUAUUUAUUGGUUUGUUUUGCUCAAACCAGCAGGGAAUUGUUUUGAAAUAUAUGAUCUUAUGUGAGGUUCCGAGUAUGGGUGUUUUAUUGAUAGACUUUGGAUAAUCAUGAUCAAUCCUACAUUGCGAUAGGUGGAGCUCUUCCUAUGCUUAUCGGCCUCAUUGACUUAUUUGUAUCGCUUGGUUCGAAAACCUUUGCUCAUUUGUUUUUUGGUAUAUUCCCUGUGAAUUUCUCACGUUCUAAAUUGUAAUUUCAAGUGAAAUCAGUCUAAUCACAAAUUUCAAUCUUUAAACUAUUGCUUUGUGUCUAAAGGAUAUUAUAUAAACCAUAUAAAAGUUACAAUUGCGAUCAACAACAUGAUGGGAGACAAAUAUAUGACAAGGCAAUACUAUUACUAAGGGAAUUUAUUGUUCCUAAGAUUAAAAUUAUUGCUAUACUUCUAAUCUCCCAAAAUGUUUUUUACAAAUGGUAAUUUAUUGUUCCUAAGAUUAAAAUAAAAAACACAAGAUUGAUGAUUUUUUAGAAAAGACAAAAUUAAUAAAUAAGAUUUACCUAUAUUAAUUGUUUGGAGAUAUUCAUACUCCAUUUAAGUAAAAAUAUUUU